rnacentral:pre_miRNA from 1 species
GUCAAACCUGGAUGUAAUCUCAAUUGUUAGCAUGCCUAAAUUGGGCAAAACAUCUCCGCCCAGAAAAUAUAUUCUGAUAUGAGAUUCAGAAUAUAUUUGUUGGGUGUUUUGCCUAGUCCGGCAUACCAUCAAUUGAGAUGACAUCUAGUUUUGACGAUC